rnacentral:ncRNA from 1 species
AAAAUAUUUUAUUUUAGUAAAUAAUUUGUUUAUAAUUUAUAUUUAUAUGUAAAUUUUUGUAUAUUAUAAUUAUUUUCUUAAAGAAUUAAUUAUAAAUUUGCAGUAAUUAAUUUUAAAAAUUAAAGAAAUUUAGAUUUAGUAAUAUUAAUUUAAUAUUGAUAAAAUUUGUGCCAGCAAUCGCGGUUACACAAAAAAUAUAAAUAAAUUUAUUUGGUAUUAGUUAAAUGAUUUUAUUUUAAAAUUUAAAAAAAUAAUUUUAUUAAGUGAAAUUUUAAAAUUUAAAUUUAAAUUUUAAAAUUAUUUAUUUUGAAACUAAGAAAAUUUGUUAAAAAACUAGGAUUAGAUACCCUAUUAUUCAAAUUUUAAUUUAAAAUACUUAAGUAGUAAUAGAUAAGGUCUUGAAACUUAAAAAAUUUGGCGGUAUUUUAUUCUGUUCAGAGGAACCUGUUCUGUAAUCGAUAAUCCACGAUGGAUCUAACUUGAAUUUGUUAAUCAGUUUGUAUAUCGCCGUUAUGAAAAAUUUUAUAAGAAAAAUAAUUUUUAAUAAUUAUAAUUAUAAUUAAUGUCAGGUCAAGGUGCAGUUUAUGUUUAAGUAGAAAUGGGUUACAAUAAAAUUAUUUAAUUUAUGAAUUUAUAAAUGUAAUUUUAUAAUGAAAGUGGAUUUGAAAGUAAAAUUAUAAAGAUAAAUAAUUUGAUUAUAGAACUAAAAUAUGUACAUAUCGCCCGUCACUCUUGUUAAAUUAAAAAUAAGAUAAGUCGUAACAAAGUAGAUGUAUUGGAAAAUGUAUCUAGAAUCAA